AUGCUGAAUUCUGGACCAGAUCUUGCCUUCUGACAACAGUGGCAUCCUGCAAAAACAUAUUUGGUCAGUAUGGGUGUACACUGGAAUGAGGUAGUAUCAGUUUAGCUAAUGUUCUCUUGCUGUACUUUUUGCAGUGAAAUUGAAGAGUUGGUGCUCGAUUAGCAUGCUUAAGUGUAUGGAAAAUUGUAAAGAAGUGCUUAUGGAAAGUAUAUGGCUCCUUGUGUAUGUUUGUCCUAUCAAUAGGACCCACGGUUCCUUGACAAUAACCAUUUAGAAUCCAGCAUUGCUUUCUAGGGUACAAGCUUUCAUAGACAACAGAAGGACUUUGAGGUUUGGGUUUAGUUGAUUGAUUCCAGAGGUAGUCUAAGAUUUGCCAACUCCACUAACAUGUAAGAGAUGCCAGAUUUCAGCAAAAGCAAUUUAGAUGGUCUUUUGAUAGUUGCUUGGCAAACCCAUAAGUAACCUGAUUAACACAAAACUAAAAGCAAGACAUUGCCUUAAGAUACCUGCUCGAUAACUUUGUAAUGGACUUCAAUUUCUUCUAGACAUUCAGCAAAAAAAGGAUAUGUGAUGAGGUAAACAUCAUUAAAUUAUCAUGAUGUAGAUUCGAAGAAGAAAGGGUGCCAUGAACCUGAAGCAGAUAACCAGAUGACAUCAGCAUAACACUAUGCAUUUCUUGAUAUACACUUUAGUCAUAGCCAUAGAAACAGUGUGUUCUUUUAUAGAGUUUCAAUCGCUGGAAUUAGAUUACAUAAAAUUCAAUAAUCUGUAGCCCGUAAGUAUUAAUAAUAAUUUCAAGAGUUGCUAUGUUAGAAUUAGAGAAUGUCUAUAAUGUGGAGAACACUAAAAAGAGUGACAUUUAUGAAUAGUAUGAGUAUUAGGAAGUCAAAACAGCUAUAAACAAAACAGUGCAUUAGUAUGCUGCAAAUAUGUCAGCAUGAGAAAGGAGUGCCAUAAUUUUUUUUGCUCUCAAAGAGGCGAGUAGAAAUUUAUAGGACAACGAAGUAGUUAAUUUAUAAAGGGCGCAUGAAUAGAAAAAUAAUUGGGUGUGACAUUAAUUUCUUCGACCUAUAAGAGGAUCAAUCGUUAUGGUUGUCAUAUUAGUAAACAUGGUGAAUCAACUCUACUACUCCUGUGCCUUCAAUGUUCAUAAAUCAUGCUUAAUAAGGGAAUUGAAAUCCAAGGGUUCAUUUGAGACCAGAAAUCACUUUAUUUUAUUCAGCCUAGGGUGAAAUAUUCAUAACCAGUCAUUAGGACUUGUUGAAGAUGGCAAUUUCGGAACUGCCUUCAACACCAAGUUGCCCAGUUCCUUGAGCACAACAGCCAUCCUAUUCCUGAUGUGGCUGAUACUCUCAUUUAUGAGAUUCAUCGUACCUUGUAUAUAUCUGCAUCUUUAACAGUGUCAGAUCUUCUAACAUGUGACUUUACGCAAAAACGUUGCAACUGUUUGUGCAGCCCUAUUGUGUUAUGUGGUGUCUUGAUGUUUACAUGCAUAUCAUGAUUAACCAACAUAUCAUGUAAGAUGAUUAUCAGAUUAUUUUUACUAAAAUAUAGAUUCUACAGGGUGUUCUGUCAAAAUCUCAGUCAACAGCAGCUUCACCAAUUAAACAAGCUGUAAGCAAGGAGGCAGAAAUUGAGCUGCCUUACAUGAAUGUUGAGCACCCCACUUCUUCAGACGGAGCAACCUUUAUGAGUAACAGGGAAAUGAGCACAUGUAGAACAGAGAGCAUGGACGCAGUUCACAUUCUUUCUCAUGUUGAGAAGCCAAAUAAUUCUAAUUCUAGCACUCUACUGGAAAUCCCACUGCAUGCAGAGGGAAGCAACAGAUGGAUUAAACGUCUCAGACAUAACCCUUCAAAUUCUCUUGCCGUUGGUACUAAGAGAUUCAAAAUUGAGAAUGGUCAGUUCUGUAGAGAUGGCAGUAAUUUGUUCAUUAGAGUACUUAACUAUAGCAAAUCCAACUUUGAUUCAAUGAAAUGUCUUCGAGAACGACCAAGGUUUGAUAAGACCAUGCUGUCACCAGAUAACGGUGUGAAUGCCUUUGAACUAUCAGGAAAAGAAACACAUUCCUGGAUCCUGAGAUGGUGUUGUAAUAGUCCUCAAGCAGGACAUGUUCAAGCAAAACUAGCAACACCAGUGGCAUGUGAGCCAGAAAAUAUGAAAGUUAUAUUUGAUGACAAGCAAUUUCCAAGCAUUGCAGCUAUGGCAUUGAUGGGGAAAGCAAUAAAAAAUUUUCAGCCAUGUGAAUUUCAGAGAAGGGGGUCUUCUGUGGUCUGGAGAAGCUGGGAUUCUGAAGACAACAAGGAUUUUUCAUCAAAAAAAAAGUGAUUAGCCUCAACCUGUGCUUCCUGACUACUGCAGCCUAAAAGGUGCUGAAAGCGAUGGUCAUUCUAGCAAACCCAGUUCAGAUACUGUUUCGGUCGAUGAAAGAGGCUGAAGUUUAAGUGCUAUUGGGAGAUUCGGAAGAUUUAGCAUUGCAUUGGUAUGUUUCUUACCCAAUUUUUUGAAUUUAUACAGGUUAUUAUCAGGGACUUUGUUACCUAAACACCCGUGUCCAGCUCCGAAAAAUCCACGUUGGAUACAUAUCCGGAUUGGGUAUGGAUCAGAUGCUUCAAUAUUUAUGAAGUUUUUGGUCGCCAACUUAAAAGAUUGGCAGGCAAAGAGUUGCUCUUGUAACAAUGAGUUUGACCCUUCAUUUUAGCAGGAGUGGGUAUUGUUAGUUUUGGAGAUUGGUCUAAGAUGUAGGUAUUGAUAUAACUUUACAAGAUGUUAUUUUCUUAUAUCUUGAAACAAUUGGGAAGUUUAAUAAGAAACAUAGAUAUUGAAAAAUCUUAACAAACAAUAUAUUAUUAAUAUUUUCUAAAUAUCUAAACGAAUCAUAUUUAAAGAUAUAAAAAUAUAUAAUUUAAUGUAAUUUAAUUUAAUCCUACAUAUCUUGGUAUCUUAAUUAUUCUCUCUUGUCAAAUCAAACACUAGAUGUGUGUCUGAAUCUGAUUUUGGUAUCUUCAUCCAUGCAACAUUGAUCAAAGGUCAUCAUAUCUGGGGCUUUUAUUCUCUUUUCUUUUUUUGGUUUAUCCUUAAGGAACCUGAAUUCCAAACUUUAUUUUUUUACAUGAGCACAUUCUUUUGUAAUCCUUCUUUUCAUAGGUCACUGGCUUCCCUUAGAUUCUUUAGGAUGUAGAAAUGCUUCUCUACACUUUGAUUUUGUGUUAUAUAUCCAUAUUGCCUGGAGCUUUUGUAUUUUAUAGUCUGCAAGAUGCUACUCCAACUUAAUGAACUAUGCUGCAAGUCACUAAAGAUGAUAAUAUUCAUUGAUAAAUAAUAACAUCAAGUUCCUAUUGAUUUCAGUUCAAAUUUUUGCAAAGCUUCGCAAUUUAAGCUUUUUUUUUAUUCGCUCCUGGUCAUAGUUUACCAACCAACCCUCCCCCCCCCCCCCCCCCCCCCCAAAAAAAAAAAAAGAAAAAAAGAAGAGAAGAAAAACGAAAAGAUCUUGUCUUGACUCAAUAAAUCGACGCCUUUGAAGUUCUCUGAAGUCUACUUGAGUUGUCUUGCUGAUUGGGCUUUAUGGUGUCUCGGUAGAUUUUUUAUCUGACUGUUUGAUGGGUGAGAUGCAUUAGAUCCUAAGAAAUCUUUGAAAUUAAAUGAAAGUUUUGUGAAAGCUUCUGGAGCUGUUACACAAGUGCCAGAGUUAUUAAUUUGUGGAAUGACUGGAAAUGAGAUGUCUGCAUUUUGGUCAUAGUUCCGGUGGAACUUGGACAGUGAUGCAGAUGCCCAGUAAAUGUCUCUUGGUUCUGAACUGUACCCGUAAUCCAGUUGCUCCUAGUCUGUUCUCUUUGGAACCAAGGUUACAUAUCCAUCUUUCUAAUUUUACAAAGCACUCUACUGGGUUCUGAUGGACCAUUGGAAUUGAAUGUCCAAGCUCCUGAUCAAAAGUUUUUUGGCCUUUUUUCCCCCAGUGAGGUGCAGGUUUCAGAAACCCAUCGUCAGAUGUAAUUGCAUGCUGAUCUUGAGAUAUGAGCAAAUGUUUGGCAUGGAAUGCACAACUAUGCUCGAGUUUCUAAGCUUCCCACAGGCCAAUGUAGAACGACUGGUAACGUGGGAUGGAUGCUUCAUCUACAAAAAUUCCACUUUUAUGUGUAUCAGGGAUUCAGACCAGCUCUUCAGGAAACUCCAUGAUGCUGCUGUGGCUUUCAGGAGAGCCUGAAAUUUUUCCAGAUUCCAUCACUGAAGGACGAGAAAACAAUGACAGGUGCAGUCGUCUGAUGCUUUGACUCGUAAAGAAAUUUCAAACCAGAGGCAGAUGAUGUGCAGCGCUGAUUCAUGAGAGGGAAAGGCUUCUGGUUAGUAUUGCAGUAGUGAUUGGCAUCGAAAUUUCUCUAUGGAUAUGAGAGACUGAGACUAAAGACCUCAAUGUUUUUAUGUCAUCAUUCCAUACUCAACAUGGCAACCGACUUGAGGAAAAUCCAUCCCCAUAAUACUUUAUAUCCAUGCAUGGCGGAGAGAACUCUGAGAAUGAUGCCUCUGAGUGUGACGACACCCUCAAGUUCUCCUGGUUGAUUGGCUGAGAAAGUGGAAGGACUCUCCGAUGCCACCAGAUGCUCCCUGGCUUGUUUGAGGGUGUCACUCCACCGCUUUAAAACUGUAUGAAUCAUUCAUUUUAGCAAAAAAAAAAAAGGAAAAAAAAGUUAGUUCCUCAUUGCUUUUUUACAGCAUUGAAAUUUUGCAUCAAAAAGAAUUUGAGUCUCCCAUCAGCUUUCGUAUUCAUGGGAUUAGCACGUCUUAAUUAACUGACGAGGGCAAUUUUGUUCAUUAACAAUAGGCUAAUAAGAGCAACUUUCUUUGUUGA